CUCGUCUCCUCUCUGUGAGGUUGGAGUUGUCUCGCGUCUCCUCUCUGUCAGGUUGGAGUUGUCUCCUCUCUGUCAGGUUGGAGUUGUCUCGCGUCUCCUCUCUGUCAGGUUGGAGUUGUCUCCUCUCUGUCAGGUUGGAGUUGUCUCUCG